rnacentral:rRNA from 1 species
UGGUCAAUGGACGCAAGUCUGAACCAGCCAUGCCGCGUGAAGGAUGAAGGUCCUCUGGAUUGUAAACUUCUUUUAUAGGGGAAGAAACCGGAAAAUUCUUUUUCCGUUGACGGUACCCUGGGAAUAAGCACCGGCUAACUCCGUGCCAGCAGCCGCGGUAAUACGGAGGGUGCAAGCGUUAUCCGGAUUCACUGGGUUUAAAGGGUGCGUAGGUGGGUCUGUAAGUCAGUGGUGAAAUCUCCAAGCUUAACUUGGAAACUGCCGUUGAUACUAUAGGUCUUGAAUGCUGUGGAGGUGAGCGGAAUAUGUCAUGUAGCGGUGAAAUGCUUAGAUAUGACAUAGAACACCAAUUGCGAAGGCAGCUCACUACCCAGAUAUUGACACUGAGGCACGAAAGCGUGGGGAUCAAACAGGAUUAGAUACCCUGGUAGUCCACGCCCUAAACUAUGGAUACUCGACAUACGCGAUACACUGUGUGUGUCUGAGCGAAAGCAUUAAGUAUCCCACCUGG